CUCGCCACCUAAAAAACCAGGAAGCAAAAUACAGACAAACACGCAGCGAAGAGCGAACAAAAAUAACCCAAAGACAGACAGAGCAAGAGGGAAGAGCGCGGUGCUUUCAGGGCGUUGUUGCUGCACAGGAGCGAAGAUCGUUCCCGCCGUGGAUGUGUUUAUUUUGUUAGGCGCGUGCGGUUGCUGUGGGCAGUAUGGGACAGCAUCUGGGAAAACGUGAGCCGUCAGCUGAGUCUAAGAGUUUGUCAGAUCCAGCGUCCAGAACUGCAGCAGAAUCUGACUCUCAGGACGAGGUCUUUGGCAUGAGCGACUCGGACGUCAACCAGAACAAAAACCGUUCAAACAAAAGCGAGACGAUGUCAGGCUCCGCCGAAACCAGCGCCCCUCCCCGCGCCGGACAGUCCAAUCAGGGUUCUGGAUAUUGGCCACGCCCACAUUUGGUCCGCCUUUUUUCCCGUGACGCGCCGGGCCGAGAGGACAACACCUUCAAAGAGCGGCCGUCAGAGUCGGAGGAACUUCACACCAUCCAGGAGGUCGGAGGAGCUGGGUCCGAAAACGCAGAGUGAAAGCAAAAGUAAUUAAUAAAACUCGACUCGUUCAGUCGCUUCUUUUUGCUCUCCGCAACACAACAUGGCAUCUUCAGGCUCAGCGGGACAGUCCGGCUUCAGACUCGGGCGUGCAAAGAAAACUCCCGGAGUGAUGGAUCAGAUUGGAAAAAUCUUUGGAGGAGAUAAGAAGCGGAAGAGCAAGGGGGAUCAUAAGACCUCAGUGAAGGCGCAGAAAGGGCGUGCCGGAGAUGGACAGGGCACGCUGACUCGCAUCUUCAAAAUGGGAGGAACCAGAGCAGCAUCUCCAGCCAAACGCUGAGUUCCAGCUCUUUUCAAAUUCUCCAUUAACCAUGAUGACCCUGAACGGAGAGAAAGAAACGAAGAAGGAAGCCUUUUUUUCUCCAUUUACACUUUUUUCCUGUUGGUGUCUCUAGCACUAACCUGAACAACAUCACGCUUGUCCUUCCUAUCUGCUUAUACUGUAUAUUUAUUUAUGUCGAUUUCUCUGUCCACCUGUUCAUUGUGGUCAGAUCCUCCACUACCUUUUUCCCCUUCGUGUCUGUGUGUUUUGAGAUCAUGAAGCACUGAGAACCUUUUGAGGAAUGCUAUCUGAUUAGGAUUAGAAAUUAAAAGCUCACAUUAUAUCACUGACGCUAAGCAUGUGACUGGUUUAAUAUGUCUGUUACUGUUAUAAGAUUGUGGAGUUACUACCUAACUGCAAAGGCUUGACAAAGACUCAACAUGCUAGCUAGCUAGUUAGUUUAGGAUAUUCACAGUAGCUAGAACUUUCUAGCUGCAGAUUAGCUAGCGUCAAAAAUCUUGCUAAGUCACAUAAUGACCAAAAAAAAAAAUGCCUCAAAAGGUUGUAGUGUGUCAUUUAUAUUAUGUAACAUGAGUCUUGUUGUUCUGUCUUUGUCUCAGGAAUCGAUGUGACUAGCAUUAAACAGCUCAUUUAUCUGUGCACAGGAUAAACUCACAUCACGCACGUUGCUUCUUCAUAGCUAUGUGUAGUCUUGUCUCAAACUCACUCUUCCUCGCUGUCUGAGUGGAUCUGACCACAAACUGUAGCACUUAAAAUGUGUAGAGUAACCAAAAUGUCGUCUCUUGUUAAUUUUCAAACGCAGGGUUUCUAAACUUUUGUUCAUGUGUAGUCACUGCAUCCGCUGUUGACUUCUGACUUCUGUAUACUCUCUCUUUCUCUCAUCUCUUUGGCAUUUCAUUACUUCUUUAAGCUUUUCAAAUAAAAUCACCCUCCAAUAAGACAGGGACACAACUAGCAUAAAAAGCCCUUGAUAUUAUGCAUGUGUUUGUCAGUUAGACUGCUAAUGGAGUGACGGGAAUCAUUAAAAAUGCCAAUAAAGGAGACAUAUAUGUGUAA